rnacentral:rRNA from 1 species
UACGAGGGGGGCAAGCGUUGUUCGGAAUUAUUGGGCGUAAAGGGUGCGUAGGCGGUUUGAUAAGUCAUCUGUGAAAUCUCUGGGCUCAACCCAGAGUCUGCAGGCGAAACUGUCGGGCUUGAGUAUGGGAGAGGUGAGUGGAAUUUCCGGUGUAGCGGUGAAAUGCGUAGAUAUCAGGAGGAACACCUGCGGUGUAGACGGCUUUCUGGACCAUUGUUGACGCUGAGACACGAAAGCGUGGGUAGCAAACAGG